CCUUCUCAAUCCCUAAGCAUUCUUAUCCAACCUAUGAUCUUUUCACCUACUUCACGUUUUUCUUUCUUGAUCUUUUCACACUGGCGAACCCCAUGUAUGCCGACGAACCCCUCAAACGCCUUUGUGUUUUCCCCCUUCGCGUUUUCCUUCCUGAACCUAAACGCCUAAACCUCUUCCUGAACCCUAAGCGGCAAAACACAUCUUCGUCCAACCUAUGAUCUCUUCACCUAGCUCUCUACAUUUUGAUGAACUGGGAGUGGGCGAGAUUCCCCUCUGCAUUCUUUUCCUCACCCCGCAUGUUGCCACCGAAGCCCUCUCCCAUAGCCUCGCCAUCACCAGCAGCCUCCCGCCCCUCCUCCAGCUCUGCCGCCGCCUUGCUGCCACCAGAAUCCCCCCGACUUCCCCGACGAGCUCUUCUUCAUCCUAUAAGAGGAAGGCGGAACGAAUUUGUGCUUCUUUUGUUGUUGUAAUUUUUUUUCCUUCUCUCAAUGUUUUCUAGGAUUUUCGGCGCUGCGAGAGCUUGCUUGAAUGAUGCUGAUUUGCAUCCCGGAGGUGGAUGAAAUCGUUUGUCCUCACCCUCAUUGGAUGGUGGUUUUGGUGUUGGGAGCUGGUUUGAUGUGGAGGUCGAGCUGCAGAUGCCAUAAAAUCGGAGGACUGUGGGUGGCGCAAGAUUGAUCUGCGGGACGAUGGAUGUGAAGAACUUUGUGAUUUUUAUCGUUUGUCUGAGUUUGGUCCUUACUUUGCCGAUGCACGGAUCUGGUGGGAGGAUAAGAGCGGGGAACUUGUCAUUCGAAUUGGGAAAUUCUGAGCUGAUAGAUUCUUCUCAGAUGAUGAGUGCAUGGCGAAAAAAGAGUACAUUGCCUGUCUCAAAUCUUUUGGUUACCAAUUAGAAAAAUGCAGGCACCUAUCGAAGAAAUACUUGCAAUGCCGAAUGGAAAGGUUAGUUUGCAUCUAGUUUAGCUUUUUUCCCUCUUAAUGGAACAUUCUUGAGAUAGAAAUGAGUGCAAAAUAAGUCUGUUAAUAUCUUAGUUGUCUUAGAAGAAGUCUAUUGUGUCACUUGUGCUGGGCUAUUGUAUAAUUUGAAUACUUAAUUCUAUAUUUUUCUCUUUACUUGACGUUAUAAUUGUUCCUCUUUGAAAGUGCCCUUAA